GACGAACGCUGGCGGCGUGCUUAACACAUGCAAGUCGAACGGAAAGGCCCUGCUUUUGUGGGGUGCUCGAGUGGCGAACGGGUGAGUAACACGUGAGUAACCUGCCCUUGACUUUGGGAUAACUUCAGGAAACUGGGGCUAAUACCGGAUAGGAGCUCCUGCUGCAUGGUGGGGGUUGGAAAGUUUCGGCGGUUGGGGAUGGACUCGCGGCUUAUCAGCUUGUUGGUGGGGUAGUGGCUUACCAAGGCUUUGACGGGUAGCCGGCCUGAGAGGGUGACCGGACACAUUAGGACUGAGAUACGGACCAGACUCCUACGGGAGGCAGAAGUGGGGAGUAUUGCACAGUGGGCGGAAGCCUGAUGCAGCAACGCCGCGUGCGGGAUGACGGCCUUCGGGUUGUAAACCGCUUUCGCCUGUGACAAAGCGUGAGUGACGGUACUGAGUAAAGAAGCACCGGCUAACUACGUG
rnacentral:rRNA from 1 species